CCCCCAACGCAUGGUGCGCGCGCUCAUUGGCCGAGCCUGAGAUUAAAGCACCGGCGCGCACCGCGGGAGAACUAGGGGGUCGUGAAGUGAUUGGCUGGAGUGCUAGCGCCUCGGACAGGCGAAGGACAUCUUCUCUGACGGACUUUCCAGUUUGGCGGAUGUACAUAGCAGAGGGGCAUUCCAGACUAACACGGCUACCCCUCUGAUAGUUACAAAUAUGGGGGACAGGAGGACUGUUAGGGCACAAGUGUGGCCCAACGGACACUGUUGGCCAAAAGAACCUGAUCUUGCAUGCAUGGGGAGCAUGUACCAAGAGUGGAAUUCAUGUGGAUAACAUAUCUCAGAAAACCGCCAUUACUCUAAGCUUCACCAAUGAUAUAAGCACCGCUUGGGCAAGUGUUAGUUACCUGAACUUCUGCGGAUGAGACGGCAGUAGACAAUCAUGUGAUUUAUUUAUUUGUUUCUUGCAAAAUGGUUUAUUUUAAAAAAUUUCUUGGAGUGCUGAAUUUUUAAUUUUUUUAAAAAAAAACUUAGUUAUUUACAAUAUAGAGAGCAUUUCCCACAAUCUCAUAACAUUUGUAAGGUAUGCCAGUGACAUUUGGGUCCCGAACUACUUGAAAGUCCUUCUAAACAACAUAUAAUAAUUACAUAAUUUAAAAAGUAAUUAAAAAGAAAAACUCGUCCCAAAAUUGAAACAA